AUUGAACGCUGGCGGCAGGCCUAACACAUGUAAGUCGAGCGGAGCGGCGGACGGGUGAGUAAUGCCUAGGAAUCUGCCUGGUAGUGGGGGAUAACGUCCGGAAACGGGCGCUAAUACCGCAUACUAUCAGAUGAGCCUAGGUCGGAUGAGCUAGUUGGUGGGGUAAAGGCCUACCAAGGCGACGAUCCGUAACUGGGCUGAGAGGAUGAUCAGUCACAUGUGAACUGGGACACGUUCCAGACUCGUACGGGAGGCAGCAGUGGGUAAUCUUGGACAGGGGGCGAAAUCCUGAUCCAGCCAUGCCGCGUGUGUGAAGAAGGUCUUCGGAUUGUAAAGCACUUUAAGUUGGGAGGCGUUACCAACAGAAUAAGCACCGGCUAACUUCGUGCCAGCAGCCGCGGUAAUUC
rnacentral:rRNA from 1 species